rnacentral:rRNA from 1 species
CCUACGGGUGGCAGCAGUGAGGAAUAUUGGUCAAUGGGCGGAAGCCUGAACCAGCCACGUCGCGUGAGGGAAGACGGUCUUAUGGAUUGUAAACUCUUUUUGUCGGGGCACACAGGCGCCCACGGGUCUGCGGAUGACCGUACCCGAAGAAAAAGCAUCGGCUAACUUCGUGCCAGCAGCGGCGGCAAUAGGGGGGAUGCGUGGGUUAUACGGAUUUGUUGGGUUAAAGGGGGGGGGAGGCGGACAGCAAAGUCAGCGGUAAAGAUGCGGGGCUAAACGCCGUAGAGCCGUUGAAACUGGGAGUCUUGAGUGGGCGAGAGGUAUGCGGAAUGCGGGGUGUAGCGGUGAAAUGCGUAGAUAUAAGGAGGAACACCAGUGGCGAAGGCGGCAUACUGGCGCGCAACUGACGCUGAGGCACGAAAGCGUGGGUAGCAAACAGGAUUAGAUACCCGUGUAGUC